rnacentral:rRNA from 1 species
CUUGACGACCAUAGAGCGUUGGAACCACCUGAUCCCAUCCCGAACUCAGUAGUGAAACGACGCAUCGCCGAUGGUAGUGUGGGGUCUCCCCAUGUGAGAGUAGGUCAUCGUUAAGC